GACGAACGCUGGCGGCGUGCCUAAUACAUGCAAGUCGAGCGAAUUUACGAGAGCUUGCUCUCGUAAAUUAGCGGCGGACGGGUGAGUAACACGUGGGCAACCUGCCUAUAAGACUGGGAUAACUUCGGGAAACCGGAGCUAAUACCGGAUAAUUCACAUCUACUCAUGUAGAUGUGCUGAAAGACGGUUUACGCUGUCACUUAUAGAUGGGCCCGCGGCGCAUUAGCUAGUUGGUGAGGUAACGGCUCACCAAGGCCACGAUGCGUAGCCGACCUGAGAGGGUGAUCGGCCACACUGGGACUGAGACACGGCCCAGACUCCUACGGGAGGCAGCAGUAGGGAAUCUUCCGCAAUGGACGAAAGUCUGACGGAGCAACGCCGCGUAGUGAUGAAGGUUUUCGGAUCGUAAACUCUGUUGUUAGGAAGAACAAGUACCAGAGUAACUGCUGGUACCUUGACGGUACCUAACC
rnacentral:rRNA from 1 species